AGGUAGCCGUGAGCCCCACUUACUUACAUUAGCUGGUGCUUGUAUUUUCUUUUUAUUUUACUUUACCGUGUGGGCGCUAGAAGAAAGGUUUAGUAAUACAAAUACAUCUCCGGCGAUGGCUGUUUCCACCUUUCAGGCGGCGCCACCGAAACCCACAUUGGGUUCCAGUCUUCUUAGCCGUCGUAUGAAACACGUUCCCUUCUCCUUGUCAUUUUUCUCCGCUCCUAAGACCAUCUCUUCUUACAGACCCAUCCUACGCAUUCGCGCCAUCGACGCGGCCCAGCCCUUCGACUACGAGUCCAGAAUGGCCCAACAGUUCCACGACUCCCAGAAGCUGAAGAUCGCCAUCGUGGGCUUCGGCAACUUCGGGCAGUUCCUGGCCCAAACCCUCGUCCGCCAGGGCCACACCGUCCUGGCCCACUCCCGCUCCGACCACUCCCUCGCGGCCCAACAACUCGGCGUCACCUUCUUCCCAAACCCCCACGAUCUCUGCGAGGAACACCCCGAAGUGAUUCUCUUAUGCUCCUCCAUCAUCUCCACCCAGCGCGUGCUCCUCACUCUCCCCCUCCAGCGCUUAAAACGCAGCACACUCUUCGUCGACGUGCUUUCCGUCAAAGAGUUCCCCAAAAACCUCCUUCUCCACGCGCUCCCCUCCGAUUUCGAUGUUCUCUGCACCCACCCCAUGUUCGGCCCACAGAGCGCCCCCCGCGCUUGGACCGGCCUCCCCUUCGUCUACGAGAAGGUCCGAAUCGGCUCCGACGAGCACCGAAUCGCCCGCUGCGAGAAAUUCCUCGGCAUUUUCGCGAGGGAGGGGUGCAGGAUGGUGGAGAUGAGCUGCGCCGACCACGAUAAGUUCGCUGCCGGGUCGCAGUUCAUAACUCACACCGUUGGUAGGGUUUUGGAGAUGCUUACGGUGGAGUCAACUCCGAUUAACACGAAAGGUUACGAGUCGUUGUUGAAUUUGGUGGAGAACACUUCCGGGGACAGUUUUGAUCUCUUCUAUGGGUUGUUUAUGUAUAAUAAGAACUCGCUGGAGAUGCUGGAGAGGUUGGAUUUCGCCUUCGAGGACUUGAGGAAACAGCUCAUGGGGCGUUUGCAUGAUGUUGUUAGAGAGCAGUUGUUUGAUAAUGCUGGAAUGGGAAAGGUGCAGAGUUUGCCUGAUGAAUAUGUCCAUCAACUGCUGCUCAAGAAUGGUCAAAAUGGUUCUGCUGCACCUGUGCUAUCACUGCCCUCCAAUGAUCUGAGAUCCAGUGAUGUUGUUAAACUCUACAACUACAAGUCAAAUGAUGCAAACCAGUCUGAUGACAAAACCAAGCUCAAGAUUGCAAUUGUUGGUUUUGGCAACUUCGGACAGUUUCUUGCAAAAACUUUUGUGCGUCAUGGUCAUCAAGUGUUGGCAUACUCUAGAUCAGAUUACUCUCACGUGGCUCAAGAAUUGGGGGUUUCAUAUUUCAAUAACAUUGACGAUCUUUGUGAACAACAUCCAGAAGUGAUUUUACUUUGCACUUCAAUCCUUUCCACAGAAAAAGUUCUUAAAUCAUUGCCCGUGCAAAGAUUGAAGAGAAGUACUUUGUUUGUGGAUGUACUUUCUGUCAAGGAAUUUCCUAGAAACUUGUUUCUUCAUCAUUUGCCACAUAAUUUUGAUAUUCUCUGCACUCAUCCUAUGUUUGGGCCAGAGAGUGGAAAAAAUGGGUGGAAUGGUCUUGCUUUUGUUUAUGAUAAAGUUAGAAUAGGAAUAGAUGAAUCAAGAACAUCACGGUGUGAUCAGUUUCUUGACAUUUUUGCUAGUGAAGGGUGCCGAAUGGUUGAAAUGUCAUGUGCUGAACAUGAUUGGCAUGCAGCUGGAUCACAAUUUAUCACGCAUACUACCGGAAGAUUUUUAGAAAAACUGGAGUUGGAGGGAACGCCAAUUGACACAAAGGGCUAUGAGACUUUGUUGAGUUUGGUGGAAAAUACUGCUGGAGAUAGUUUUGAUCUAUACUAUGGUUUGUUCUUGUAUAAUAUAAAUGCCAUGGAGCAACUAGAAAGAUUUGAUCUGGCUUUUGAGUCUGUGAAGAAGGAGCUUUUUGAUCGUCUGCAUGGCUUCUACCGACAGCAAGUAUUUAAACAUGAAGAAAAACUCCAUGAUUUGCCAGAGAGGCCUAUGUUGUCUAAGAUAUCUGAAGAUAAAUAAAUCUUGGCCAUGAUCCAUAACAGUAAAGCUAACUACUUUAACUGUAGAGUACUUGCCAUCAAGCUGAAGUAGCCUCCUGCGUCCCCACUGAGUCCAAUGGUGGGAGUCUUAGACAGUUAAACCAACAUGGACUUUUCACAGAUUGACAUAUCUAGAUUACAUUUAUUGAGUGACAAACAACGAAGUAAUUGAGGACUGAGAACGCACAAUGACUACACAAUUAAAGUUUCUAAUGUUGAUGCAUUGCAAAGUUCCUGAUACCUCUCUCAACCAAAGGUAAAGUAACGGAUUUGCCUUGACACGAUUUCAAUUAUUUGUAGAUUAAGGCGGUCAAGGAGAAGAUGAAUGGAAAGGUCAAUACUUUAAGCAUUUCUCGAAGCUGAUUGAGACACCAAGUAAAUUUGAUUCAGGAAAUUUUCUUUUAAUUAAAAAUGGUCCCUAAAAAAUUCGAGCCAUGAUCUAAUUUUUUUUUUCAAUUUCUUAUAAUUUAUAUUCGCCAACCAUAGAUACACAAAGAAGAUGAGUACAAUUAGAUUGGUAUAGUUUUGUUAUUUGUAUCUGUAUUUUUUUUUAUUGUAUGAAGGAUCUUGUGGUAACAUUACCUCAAGGCAUAUUUGAAGAAUGAU